UUAACGGAGAGUUUGAUCCUGGCUCAGGACGAACGCUGGCGGCGUGCCUAAUACAUGCAAGUCGAGCGGACAGAAGGGAGCUUGCUCCCGGACGUUAGCGGCGGACGGGUGAGUAACACGUGGGCAACCUGCCCCUUAGACUGGGAUAACUCCGGGAAACCGGAGCUAAUACCGGAUAAUCCCUUUCUCCACCUGGAGAGAGGGUGAAAGAUGGCUUCGGCUAUCACUAGGGGAUGGGCCCGCGGCGCAUUAGCUAGUUGGUAAGGUAACGGCUUACCAAGGCGACGAUGCGUAGCCGACCUGAGAGGGUGAUCGGCCACACUGGGACUGAGACACGGCCCAGACUCCUACGGGAGGCAGCAGUAGGGAAUCUUCCGCAAUGGACGAAAGUCUGACGGAGCAACGCCGCGU
rnacentral:rRNA from 2 species